UUCGAUUACAAUUCUUCUAAA
rnacentral:piRNA from 1 species